GAUGAACGCUAGCGGCGUGCUUAACACAUGCAAGUCGAACGGAAAGGCUCCUGCUUGCAGGGGUACUCGAGUGGCGAACGGGUGAGUAACACGUGGGUGAUCUGCCCUGCACUUCGGGAUAAGCCUGGGAAACUGGGUCUAAUACCGGAUAGGACGAUGGUUUGGAUGCCAUUGUGGAAAGUUUUUCGGUGUGGGAUGAGCUCGCGGCCUAUCAGCUUGUUGGUGGGGUAAUGGCCUACCAAGGCGUCGACGGGUAGCCGGCCUGAGAGGGUGUACGGCCCACUUUGGGACGGAGAGACGGCCAGGACCCCAGGGGGAGGCAGCGGGGGGGAAUAGGGCAAAAGGGGCGAAGCCCGGAUGCAGCGCCGCGGCGGGGGGGAUGACGGCCUUGGGGUUGUAAACUCCUUUCGCGGGGGAAAAGGCGCAAGUGAGGUCACGGGGAAAAGAAGAACCGGAAAACUCCGGC
rnacentral:rRNA from 1 species